CAAAUUCAUAAAUUCAUCGAUAGGGAGAGGUAGAUUCGAGGAUUUCAGUUCGAGGAAGUCACGCGUUUGAGCUUGGACGAAUUCGAAGGCCAACAUUUCCAACAAUCGUGAUAAUUUAGCGUUUGGAUGUCUCAACAGGAGCCUUGCCUAUUGUCGCAUAUGCGUAUUUAUAACAAGUCUGUACUUGAGUGGGAAAUUGCAGUUGGCUUACGUUACAAGCCAGAGACAUUUCAGAAAGUUCAUCCACGUCAUCCGUGAAGCACAUCUGGAUCUGGUAUGAGUUAAAACAGGU